rnacentral:lncRNA from 1 species
AUUAUAGCAUAAAGCAGCCCUCAAAAUCUUUUUAUUUUUAUUUUUUUGGAGUCCAAGUCCAUUCGGUUGGUUGGAUUUAAUUAAAGUCCAAUUGCCUUUGAACACAAAUCCAAACUUGAGGCCCAUUUAAAUUAGACAAGCCCUCAAUUCUUUCACAUAAUGCAAGUUAAUCCUUGAUACAAUUUUAUUUGUGCAACCAUUGUCCUUCUUCCUUUCCACUUGCUUCGAACGGACCCAUCACUUACACAAAGAAAAAUAACCUAAAUUAAAUGGAAAUUAAUAAUGUGACAACUCAAAAGUUUAAUAAUGUGGCAUAAAUAAGUGCACAAAUUGCACUUAUCAAACACUCCCAAACUUAAACCUUUGUUCGUCCUCGAACAAAACUAUAACUUAAAUAGAAACAAACACACAAGCAAGCACAAAUAUUUGGUUGGACCAUCUAGCUUUUUAUCUCAGGAUUUGAAAUCACGGCAUUAAAUUUACAAACUACUUCAAAGUCACAAUACCAAACUAAUAUCCACUUUUUCAAUGCAAAAUUGACAUGUGUGUAUGAAGAACCAAGUAGACAUUAAUGAAUUCACAAGUUGUUCUAAUUCCCGACCCUCUAUGGUCAAAUAUAUCUUUUCAUCUCUCGUAAGAUUCACACUCCCCCAAACUUAUGCUUUUUCACUCUUUUUCCCAGUGUGUGAUCUAAGAUUGAAUUUUUCAUUACUAUCCCCACUCUCUCCAAUUCAGGUAGACGUCAAUAGUUGCAAGUCAACACAUCAAUGAACAAUGAUUCUCCAAUUAUUUGAUUACUUCGACCAUCAAGAUUCAAUUAGGCUAAUUAUUCUUUAUCGAAAGUUAAAUUUCCUCGAACAAGUGUUGGGACUUACAAGGCAUUUAGUGCUUUUUUUUUUUUUAUUUGGACUCUCCCUUAAGCUUUCUAGAUAACCCAUGUAGCAAGUUUUAGGCCGAUGACUCCCAAGUCAGAUGACUUUAGGGCACCAGGUUUUCAAAUACCCUUACAGGCUUAAUAACCUGAGUAAAAAAGGCUUCGAAGAGAACAAAAAUAUUUUUUUUUUGAUAGCUUCAUCUCUGAUUGCUUUUUGAAUGACCCUUAUAAUGAGUUUUAGGCUGAUAACUCCCAAGUCAGAUAACUUUAGGGCAUCAGAUUUUAAGAUACCCUUGCAAACUUGAUUGCUCGAGUCAUAAAAGCUCAAAUUAAAUUUCAAAAUAUAUGUCUUGAUUAGUGCAAUGUCCCUUAUCACACACCUAUUCAAGCAAAUCGACCUCCCAUUUAAGACUUUCACCCAAUUUUAUCCUAUUAAUCUCAGACAAUCCACACAAAUUUUUUUUCACACAAGGAAUCCACAUUCACAUCUUUAUUUUCCUACAACGGCAAGAUCUCCCCAAACUGUACUGAAUUUGGUCUAAGGAUAAAUAAUUAGUAUAGUUUUUGGUAAAGUAUCUAUGUCCAACUAAUUCAAUCUAUCAAGUGCAUGAAUCAACUCAUUUCAUCAUAAUGUCAACUCAGUUCUAGUGCAUGUAUAAUAUCAAGUUUUGCAAGUUCAAGCUUCAAUCAG